rnacentral:rRNA from 1 species
GGGAGCUUGCUCCCUGAUGUCAGCGGCGGACGGGUGAGUAACACGUGGGCAACCUGCCUGUAAGACUGGGAUAACUUCGGGAAACCGGAGCUAAUACCGGAUAACUUCUAGCACCUCCUGGUGCGAGAAUAAAAGAUGGCGUAAGCUAUCACUUACAGAUGGGCCCGCGGCGCAUUAGCUAGUUGGUGAGGUAACGGCUCACCAAGGCGACGAUGCGUAGCCGACCUGAGAGGGUGAUCGGCCACACUGGGACUGAGACACGGCCCAGACUCCUACGGGAGGCAGCAGUAGGGAAUCUUCCGCAAUGGACGAAAGUCUGACGGAGCAACGCCGCGUGAGCGAUGAAGGCCUUCGGGUCGUAAAGCUCUGUUGUUAGGGAAGAACAAGUACCGGAGUAACUGCCGGUACCUUGACGGUACCUAACCAGAAAGCCACGGCUAACUACGUGCCAGCAGCCGCGGUAAUACGUAGGUGGCAAGCGUUGUCCGGAAUUAUUGGGCGUAAAGCGCGCGCAGGCGGUCCUUUAAGUCUGAUGUGAAAGCCCACGGCUCAACCGUGGAGGGUCAUUGGAAACUGGGGGACUUGAGUACAGAAGAGGAAAGUGGAAUUCCACGUGUAGCGGUGAAAUGCGUAGAGAUGUGGAGGAACACCAGUGGCGAAGGCGACUUUCUGGUCU